AAAACAUUGCAGAAUUCUGCCUAGAGUUUACGACCGGUACAGCUUAUACAAAGUAUUUAAUGAAGCCCGAACCAUCAUAACAGAAUAACGCGCCACCUGGCCGCCCUAACCUGAUGAUCAGACCACCACCGUAUGGGAUGCCUCCGGGAGCCAAUUUCAUGCCACCCCCCAUGGAAGCCCCCGACAUGUCAGCGCCACCUAUGAUGGGAGGACCCCCAGGUUUCCAGCCCCGGACAGGAAGUAUCCCCCCGCCCCACUACCCUUCACCCAGAGGUAUGCCACCAAUGAGGAUGCCUCCAGCUUUUCCCACACCAGGCCCAGGUAA